GUGGGGCACAUAACCGGAGCAUCAGUAUACGUCUAAAUCUCAGCAUAAAAUCGUAAAGCUUGGAAGUUUAAAAGUUUAAAAAAAAUAAGUGAAAAUCAACUAGAAUGGCCAAAUUUACUCUGAUCUUCACCCUGUUGGUGGCUCUUGUUGCCAUUGUUAGUGCCCAGCACGGACAUGGCCACGGACAGCAAGGAUUCGGAGGACACGGACACGGGCAGCAAGGAUUCGGUGGACAUGGUGGACAAAAACAAGGACAGGGCUUCGGAGGUCAUGGUGCUCAAGCUUACGGAGGCGGUCACGGAGGUCAUGGCCAAGGCUUCGGAGCCGGCCACGGACACGGGCACGGACAACAGCAUGGACAUGGACAUGGUCGCGGAGGACAUUAAUCGAAGUAAAACAAAAUAAAUGUGAUUAAACCAAAAACAACA